rnacentral:tRNA from 1 species
GCGGACGUGGCGGAACUGGCAGACGCGCGCGGCUUAGGACCGCGUGGGGUAACCCUUGAGAGUUCAACUCUCUCCGUCCGCA